CCCUUAGAUGUUCUGGGCCGCACGCGCGCUACACUGACGAAGUCAGCGAGCAUCUCCUACGCCGAAAGGUGCGGGGAAUCUUGUGAAACUUUGUCGUGCUGGGGAUUGAUUUUUGAAAUUCUUGAUCAUCAACGAGGAAUUCCUAGUAAGCGCAAGUCAGCAGCUUGCGUUGAUUACGUCCCUGCCCUUUGUACACACCGCCCGUCGCUACUACCGAUUGAAUGGUUUAGUGAGAUUUUUGGACUGGAACUCUCUUGUUCAGCAAUGGACGAGAGGGACUCUGGGAAGCUAUUCUAACUGUNUNAUUUAUNGGAAGUAAAANUCGUANCA
rnacentral:rRNA from 1 species